rnacentral:rRNA from 1 species
AUUGAACGCUGGCGGUAGGCCUAACACAUGCAAGUCGAACGCGAAAUUUCUUCGGGAUGAGUAGAGUGGCGGACGGGUGAGUAACGCGUAGGAAUCUAUCCUGUAGUGGGGGAUACCGUUUCGAAAGGAUCGCUAAUACCGCAUAUGCCCCACGGCUGAAAGCGAGGGAUCUUCGGCCCUCGUGCUAUAGCAGUAGCCUGCGUCGGAUUAGCUAGUUGGUGAGGUAAAGGCCUACCAAGGCAACGACCUGUAGUUGGACUGAGGGGACGACCAGCCACACUGGGACUGAGACACGGCCCAGAAUCCUACGGGAGGCAGCAGUGGGGAAUUUUGGACAAUGGGCGCAAGCCUGAUCCAGCAAUGCCGCGUGCAGGAAGAAGGCCUUCGGGGUGUAAACUGGUUUUGUCAGGGAAGAAAUCGUCUGGGUUAAUACCUCGGGAGGAUGACGGUACCUGAAGAAUAAGCACCGGCUAACUACGUGCCAGCCGCCGCGGUAAGAC